UAGGGAAUCUUCGGCAAUGGACGAAAGUCUGACCGAGCAACGCCGCGUGAGUGAAGAAGGUUUUCGGAUCGUAAAACUCUGUUGUUAGAGAAGAACAAGGACGUUAGUAACUGAACGUCCCCUGACGGUAUCUAACCAGAAAGCCACGGCUAACUACGUGCCAGCAGCCGCGGUAAUACGUAGGUGGCAAGCGUUGUCCGGAUUUAUUGGGCGUAAAGCGAGCGCAGGCGGUUUCUUAAGUCUGAUGUGAAAGCCCCCGGCUCAACCGGGGAGGGUCAUUGGAAACUGGGAUACUGGAGUGCAGAAGAGGAGAGUGGAAUUCCAUGUGUAGCGGUGAAAUGCGUAGAUAUGUGGAGGAACACCAGUGGCGAAGGCGGCUCUCUGGUCUGUAACUGACGCUGAGGCUCGAAAGCGUGGGGAGCAAACAGG
rnacentral:rRNA from 1 species